rnacentral:rRNA from 1 species
GAUGAACGCUAGCGGCAGGCCUAAUACAUGCAAGUCGAACGAGAUUAGUAGCAAUACUAUGAAAGUGGCGCACGGGUGCGUAACACGUAUGCAAUCUACCUUUAAUUGGAGAAUAGCCUCGAGAAAUCGGGAUUAAUACUCCAUAACAUUAUGAAGUGGCAUCACUUUAUAAUUAAACCUCCGGGGAUUAAAGAUGAGCAUGCGCAACAUUAGCUAGUUGGUAAGGUAAUGGCUUACCAAGGCUACGAUGUUUAGGGGGUCUGAGAGGAUGAUCCCCCACACUGGUACUGAGACACGGACCAGACUCCUACGGGAGGCAGCAGUAGGGAAUAUUGGGCAAUGGAGGCAACUCUGACCCAGCCAUGCCGCGUGCAGGAUGACGGCCCUCUGGGUUGUAAACUGCUUUUAUACGGGAAUAAAUCUCGCUACGUGUAGUGAGUUGAAUGUACUGUAAGAAUAAGGAUCGGCUAACUCCGUGCCAGCA